AGAGUUUGAUCAUGGCUCAGAUUGAACGCUGGCGGCAGGCCUAACACAUGCAAGUCGAACGGUAACAGGAAGCAGCUUGCUGCUUCGCUGACGAGUGGCGGACGGGUGAGUAAUGUCUGGGAAACUGCCUGAUGGAGGGGGAUAACUACUGGAAACGGUGGCUAAUACCGCAUAACGUCGCAAGACCAAAGAGGGGGACCUUCGGGCCUCUUGCCAUCAGAUGUGCCCAGAUGGGAUUAGCUAGUUGGUGAGGUAACGGCUCACCAAGGCGACGAUCCCUAGCUGGUCUGAGAGGAUGACCAGCCACACUGGAACUGAGACACGGUCCAGACUCCUACGGGAGGCAGCAGUGGGGAAUAUUGCACAAUGGGCGCAAGCCUGAUGCAGCCAUGCCGCGUGUAUGAAGAAGGCCUUCGGGUUGUAAAGUACUUUCAGCGGGGAGGAAGGUGUUGUGGUUAAUAACCGCAGCAAUUGACGUUACCCGCAGAAGAAGCACCGGCUAACUCCGUGCCAGCAGCCGCGGUAAUACGGAGGGUGCAAGCGUUAAUCGGAAUUACUGGGCGUAAAGCGCACGCAGGCGGUCUGUCAAGUCGGAUGUGAAAUCCCCGGGCUCAACCUGGGAACUGCAUUCGAAACUGGCAGGCUUGAGUCUUGUAGAGGGGGGUAGAAUUCCAGGUGUAGCGGUGAAAUGCGUAGAGAUCUGGAGGAAUACCGGUGGCGAAGGCGGCCCCCUGGACAAAGACUGACGCUCAGGUGCGAAAGCGUGGGGAGCAAACAGGAUUAGAUACCCUGGUAGUCCACGCCGUAAACGAUGUCUACUUGGAGGUUGUGCCCUUGAGGCGUGGCUUCCGGAGCUAACGCGUUAAGUAGACCGCCUGGGGAGUACGGCCGCAAGGUUAAAACUCAAAUGAAUUGACGGGGGCCCGCACAAGCGGUGGAGCAUGUGGUUUAAUUCGAUGCAACGCGAAGAACCUUACCUGGUCUUGACAUCCACAGAACUUUCCAGAGAUGGAUUGGUGCCUUCGGGAACUGUGAGACAGGUGCUGCAUGGCUGUCGUCAGCUCGUGUUGUGAAAUGUUGGGUUAAGUCCCGCAACGAGCGCAACCCUUAUCCUUUGUUGCCAGCGGUCCGGCCGGGAACUCAAAGGAGACUGCCAGUGAUAAACUGGAGGAAGGUGGGGAUGACGUCAAGUCAUCAUGGCCCUUACGACCAGGGCUACACACGUGCUACAAUGGCGCAUACAAAGAGAAGCGACCUCGCGAGAGCAAGCGGACCUCAUAAAGUGCGUCGUAGUCCGGAUUGGAGUCUGCAACUCGACUCCAUGAAGUCGGAAUCGCUAGUAAUCGUGGAUCAGAAUGCCACGGUGAAUACGUUCCCGGGCCUUGUACACACCGCCCGUCACACCAUGGGAGUGGGUUGCAAAAGAAGUAGGUAGCUUAACCUUCGGGAGGGCGCUUACCACUUUGUGAUUCAUGACUGGGGUGAAGUCGUAACAAGGUAACCGUAGGGGAACCUGCGGUUGGAUCACCU
rnacentral:rRNA from 3 species